rnacentral:lncRNA from 1 species
GUGCUAAGAACAUAUCAUGGACUUGAAGAAAAUACAGUUUUAUUUCUGUUACAGGGACUUAACACAUCCGAUCCUGUUUGGAUGCUGAAGCGUACAUACAGCAAAGAAAAUGAAUCAUGUAUCUAUACAAAAAUGAUGUCUCUUAACCGCACCGACUAUGAAUUUAGGCGAUAUUUUAGUGCUGGAGGCAAGAUGUACUAUAAGCACUACUACGCGAAGCUGACUAACGCCACAGGGGGCCAAGAGGGUGCACAACUGAAUGUCAGUAAAUAUCAAAACGAAACAUCCAGUGGCAUAGCUGUUAUACUUCUUCACUGGGACGAUACAAGCAACUGUGCAAUUCUAUAUUAUAAGGACCCCAAAGAAGGUCAG